CAUAUAUUUGUUUGCUCCAGAAUCUAUAACUCAACAAGAUUUGUCAAGAUUGCUAAGAAAAACAUUAAUUGAUUUGACAAAAGUGGAAGAACCAAUUGUUAAAGAUUGAGAUUUAAGUCGAGACAAUAAAUGCCUUAGGGAUUGAACUUCUCUGUUGGAAAAAAUGCUAACAUCUUUUGUUCUUUCGGAGUCAUUCACUGUUUUAGACAUAUUCGCUUGCGGUCAGUUCAAGAACAAAGGCUGGGUAAAAGUGCAACACACGAGAAACAGUUGAAAAGUCAGAGGUCCACGUGCUGUGAACAGUGCCGAUGACUAAUACUCGUGAACAAAACUCAUGAAUAGUGCGCAUAAACAAUACCAAUAAACAGUACGCGUAAACAGCAUCGAUCAAUAGUAUUAAAGCCCGCCCUAAUGAAUCGAAAGCUUUGAUACCAUGCAAAAACUAAUGUAUUUGAGAGAAAUU
rnacentral:misc_RNA from 1 species